CAGCACCUCAAGUGGUCAGGAUGAUUAUUGGGCCUAAAGCAUCCGUAGCCGGCUCUGUAAGUUUUCGGUUAAAUCUGUACGCUCAACGUACAGGCUGCCGGGAAUACUGCAGCGCUAGGGAGUGGGAGAGGUAGACGGUACUCGGUAGGAAGGGGUAAAAUCCUUUGAUCUAUUGAUGACCACCUGUGGCGAAGGCGGUCUACCAGAACACGUCCGACGGUGAGGGAUGAAAGCUGGGGGAGCAAACCGGAUUAGAUACCCGAGUAGCC
rnacentral:rRNA from 1 species